ensembl:lncRNA
UUUAUUUUUAUUUUUUAUUAUACAAUUAACAGAAGCAAAAAAGGCCUCUAACACUAGCUUGCUCUAUUCUUUUUCUUUUCUAUCUGUUUUCUUUUUAUUAUUAUAUAAUAAUAAAAAAAACCUUGCUAUGUGUACUGUGUUAAGCUAACCGAGACUUAUUGCUCUUUUGUUGAUUUUGAUUGCUUCCAUUGUCCUCAUUUGUAAGCCGCUUUAGAUAAAAGCAUCUGCUAAAUGACUAAAUGUAAAUGAAGUUGAUUUUUCUUGAAAUUGGCAGAUUUUUUUGUGUGUGUGUGUGUGUUUUAGGCAUGAAUUCACAUAAUUUUGGUACAUUUUUCAUUUUCUUGAUAUGUUAAGUCAUUUUGCUUCUCAAGAAAAUGUAUUUUGAUUUAAGAAUAUUAAAAUAUUUUUACGAGAAAAGACAAAAAUACUAAGAGUAUCAUGUUUUGCAGUGCAUUCACACUGCUCUGACGUCAAAACCGACUAUAUUUACUUCAGUGUUAAAGUAUGUAAUCACCAAAUUUAAGAAUUACAAAUAAAUAAUGGCUGUUUUCAGGCAGGUUACCUGACCUGAAACUCCUCUCAUCUUGCUUUGGCUGUUGGUCACUGGAUAGAGAGCAAACCUGGAGCCAGUCCAAACUAACAUGCUAUUGCACUGUUUUAUGAAGCAUUCCUGCUGUCAGGGAAAGAGAGACAGAGUCUGCUUGUGCUUCUCAAUGCCGUGGCUCAAUACUGGGCCCGGCGUUACAGUACUCUACACAGUAAUAGAGUCCUACAGAGUGACUCUUUGUAAACAACCUGCUCCAGAGAACUGCUGCAAUGACAGCUGUUUACCCCACAUCCACCGUUACAGGUACAGACUGAAAUAGAGAGCAUCUUCAGUGCCCACAAAUUCCACACUAAUGCAAAAGAGAGUUUUAAAGUAACAAAAUGUAUUUGACACAUUUUACUUUUUUUAUCGUGUGUUCCUACUCUUAUUGUGCAUGAUUAAUCAAUGCAUGUUAUUGUGCAUAUUAACUAAAAUCAUAUAAACCAUUUCCGUUACUUGAAAUAUAAGCGUUAACUGAGAUUUUAUAUAUAUAAACAAACUUAUUUUAAUUUAGUUAGCUGCCAAGUCAUACUAUGAAAGUCAAUGGGACUCAAAAUUGUUUGGUUGUCAACGUUCUUCACAAUGUCUCCUUUUAUUAUCAGCAUGUUUAUUGUAUGCUUUUACCUUGCAUAGAUUUGUUCAUGGUUUUCAAGGAUAAAAAGCUGUCAAAGUGACAGAGUUUGAUUUGGAUGCACCUCAUCUUACAUCAACAACAAAAGAUAUAAGAGCUGCCGGAGGAGGACUGGAGGUGCACGUCUCUGCUCAUUCAGCAUCUGGCUCUGCGUCAAACCGAUGGCCAGCUUCCCCAAAACAUAUCACUGACUUCAAAAAACAGACCUGUAAUGACUACCAGAGGAGCACUUCAGUGAGGCCAAACUACAGCUUCUCCAUAUAAAAUCAGCUUACGCACCAUCACCAGAUUGGUUUGACAUCCAUUAUGCAUGAGAAGGGAAAGAAUGGCAGACGAUGCGCUGAUGUGUUCAUUUUAUGAUGCUGAGCAGAAAUGUUCCCUCUAAGUUGAUGUUUGAUGUCGCUUCCAUGCAGACCAAAAGAAAACCUGCACAGCAAGGAAACAAAAAGAUGUAUGGAAAAUUAUUUGGAAAAUCUUGUUCUAAAUGGAUGGAUGGAGUUUAAAUUCCAUAGAGUUGCAUUUUCAUUAAUUCUCAGUAUAUACCUGAAGCUGUGAGAUAUUUUAUAUGGAAAUAUGCAAAGCUUAAGGCCUAAAUUCAUGUGUUCAAUGUGUCAGUAAGCACCAAAUAUUCACGUCUUCAUUUGUGUAACCCAUCUCAUGUAUAGUAAUGGCUUUAAUAUAUUGUUACUCAAGGAGGUGAUAGAGAUACCUUCAAAUGUUUGAGCCAGUAAACUAUAACAAAACAAAAACGUACCUUUUAAAUAAAACUAAUUAUUAAAUAAAAAAAUCCAUACAGUAAAU